rnacentral:rRNA from 1 species
UACGAAGGGUGCAAGCGUCACUCGGAAUUACUGGGCGUAAAGCGUGCGUAGGUGGUUCGUUAAGUCUGAUGUGAAAGCCCUGGGCUCAACCUGGGAAUUGCACUGGAAACUGGCGGGCUAGAGUACGGUAGAGGGUAGUGGAAUUCCUGGUGUAGCAGUGAAAUGCGUAGAGAUCAGGAGGAACAUCCGUGGCGAAGGCGACUACCUGGACCAGUACUGACACUGAGGCACGAAAGCGUGGGGAGCAAACAGG